UACCUAUCGGAUCAUGAAGCCAAAGGGCAGCACUUUGAUUCCUUCAAUUCUAAAAAUCUGUCCGUCGGCAGAUGGCGUAAUGCGCGACAUUCACACAACUACUCUCUCGUCGUUAUCGCCACACAUUCUACAGUAAUAUAGGUGUUGUCAGAGUGUCCCAUCUUGGCCAAGACACGUUUGAGCCCUAUUUAAAAUUAACACAAAUUUAGUAGUAGCAGAUAUUUAUAUGUAAUAUAAUUUUCAGUGCCUUUGCAUCACUCGAGCUCCACUGUCUAACCUGAAGAAGUAUGGAAACUUAAAAUUCAAGUUCAUUAAGGUGACGACGCCACGCUACGUGACGGACGCGACUAACGGAACGACGACCGUCUGCCCGCCCUGCGUGUGCCCCAACUGCUGAGGAGUCAUGCCCCAUUUUUAAUAAAUUAUAUAAUUGA